rnacentral:sRNA from 1 species
CCGUCUACUUUUUUUUUUCCUUUUUUUUU